AGCAGCCGCGGUAAUUCCAGCUCCAAUAGCGUAUAUUAAAGUUGUUGCAGUUAAAAAGCUCGUAGUUGAAUUUCGGGAUUAGUACGCUGGUCGUGCCUUCGGUACGUACUGGUGUUACUGAUUUCUACCUUCUGACGAACCAUCAUGUCAUUAAUUUGGUGUGGUGGGGAAUCAGGACUGUUACUUUGAAAAAAUUAGAGUGUUUAAAGCAGGCUCGCGCUUGAAUACAUUAGCAUGGAAUAAUGAAAUAGGACGUUGAUCCUAUUUUGUUGGUUUCUAGGAUUGACGUAAUGAUUAAUAGGGAUAGUUGGGGGCAUUAGUAUUCAAUUGUCAGAGGUGAAAUUCUUGGAUUUAUUGAAGACUAACUACUGCGAAAGCAUUUGCCAAGGAUGUUUUCAUUAAUCAAGAACGAAAGUUAGGGGAUCGAAGACGAUCAGAUACCGUCGUAGUCUUAACCAUAAACUAUGCCGACUAGGGAUCGGAUGAUGUUAUUUUUAAUGACUCAUUCGGCGCCUUACG
rnacentral:rRNA from 1 species